GACGAACGCUGGCGGCGUGCUUAACACAUGCAAGUCGAACGGAAAGGCCCUGCUUUGGUGGGGUGCUCGAGUGGCGAACGGGUGAGUAACACGUGAGUAACCUGCCCUUGACUUUGGGAUAACUUCAGGAAACGGGGGCUAAUACCGGAUAGGAGCUCCUGCGGCAUGGUGGGGGUUGGAAAGUUUCGGCGGUUGGGGAUGGACUCGCGGCUUAUCAGCUUGUUGGUGGGGUAGUUGCUUACCAAGGCUUUGACGGGUAGCCGGCCUGAGAGGGUGACCGGCCACAUUGGGACUGAGAUACGGCCCAGACUCCUACGGGAGGCAGCAGUGGGGAAUAUUGCACAAUGGGCGGAAGCCUGAUGCAGCAACGCCGCGUGCGGGAUGACGGCCUUCGGGUUGUAAACCGCUUUCGCCUGUGACGAAGCGUGAGUGACGGUAAUGGGUAAAGAAGCACCGGCUAACUACGUG
rnacentral:rRNA from 1 species